GAUGAACGCUGGCGGCGUGCCUAAUACAUGCAAGUCGAGCAACGGACGGGGAGCUUGCCUCCCUGGUGGUUGCGGCGGGCGGGGGAGUAAAACGGGGGAAAACUACCUAUAAGACCGGGAUUACUUUGGGGAAACGGGGGUAAUAACGGGAAAAUAUUUGAACCGCAUGGGUCCAAAAGGAAAGGAGGGCUUGGUGGUAACUAAUGGAGGAACCGCGCUUCAUUAGCUAGUUGGUAAGGUAACGGCUUACCAAGGCAACGAUGCAUAGCCGACCUGAGAGGGUGAUCGGCCACACUGGAACUGAGACACGGUCCAGACUCCUACGGGAGGCAGCAGUAGGGAAUCUUCCGCAAUGGGCGAAAGCCUGACGGAGCAACGCCGCGUGAGUGAUGAAGGUCUUCGGAUCGUAAAACUCCGUUAUUAGGGAAGAACAUAUGUGUAAGUAACUGUGCACAUCUUGACGGUACCUAAUCAGAAAGCCACGGCUAACUACGUG
rnacentral:rRNA from 1 species